UACGUAGGGGGCAAGCGUUGUCCGGAUUUAUUGGGCGUAAAGAGCGUGUAGGCGGUCCGGUAAGUCGGUUGUGAAAGUCCAGGGCUCAACCCUGGGAUGCCGACCGAUACUGUCGGACUAGAGUUCGGAAGAGGCGAGUGGAAUUCCCGGUGUAGCGGUGAAAUGCGCAGAUAUCGGGAGGAACACCUAUGGCGAAGGCAGCUCGCUGGGACGUUACUGACGCUGAGACGCGAAAGCGUGGGGAGCAAACAGG
rnacentral:rRNA from 1 species